rnacentral:rRNA from 1 species
CGGCUCACAGGCGACGACGGGUAGCCGGCCUGAGAGGGCGACCGGCCACACUGGGACUGAGACACGGCCCAGACUCCUACGGGAGGCAGCAGUGGGGAAUAUUGCACAAUGGGCGAAAGCCUGAUGCAGCGACGCCGCGUGAGGGAUGACGGCCUUCGGGUUGUAAACCUCUUUCAGCAGGGAAGAAGCGAAAGUGACGGUACCUGCAGAAGAAGCGCCGGCUAACUACGUGCCAGAGCCGCGGCCG